UACGAAGGGUGCAAACGUUGCUCGGAAUUAUUGGGCGUAAAGCGCACGUAGGCGGCUUAGCAAGUCGGAAGUGAAAUCCCUCGGCUCAACCAAGGAAGUGCUUUCGAAACUGCUGAGCUUGAGUACUUAAGAGGAUCGCGGAAUUCCCGGUGUAGAGGUGAAAUUCGUAGAUAUCGGGAGGAACACCAGUGGCGAAGGCGGCGAUCUGGGAAGAUACUGACGCUGAGGUGCGAAAGCGUGGGGAGCAACA
rnacentral:rRNA from 1 species